ACGCUGGCGGCACGCCUAACACAUGCAAGUCGAACGAAGUAGCAAUACUUAGUGGCAGACGGGUGAGUAACAUGUAGGUAUCUGCCCUUUGGCCUGGAAUAACACGAGGAAACUUGUGCUAAUACCGGAUAAGUCUUUACGGAGAAAGCUUUAUGCACCAUUGGAUGAGCCUGCACUUGAUUAGUUUGUUGGUGGGGUAAUGGCCUACCAAGACUGUGAUCAAUAGCUGAUUUGAGAGGAUGAUCAGCCACAUUGGGACUGAGACACGGCCCAAACUCCUACGGGAGGCAGCAGUGGGGAAUCUUGCACAAUGGAGGAAACUCUGAUGCAGCGAUGCCGCGUGAGUGAAGAAGGCCUUUGGGUUGUAAAGCUCUUUCGUCGGGGAAGAAAAUGACUGUACCCGAAUAAGAAGGUCCGGCUAACUUCGUGCCAGCAGCCGCGGUAAUACGAAGGGACCUAGCGUAGUUCGGAAUUACUGGGCUUAAAGAGUUCGUAGGUGGUUGAAAAAGUUAGUGGUGAAAUCCCAGAGCUUAACUCUGGAACUGCCAUUAAAACUUUUCAGCUAGAGUAUGAUAGAGGAAAGCAGAAUUUCUAGUGUAGAGGUGAAAUUCGUAGAUAUUAGAAAGAAUACCAAAUGCGAAGGCAGCUUUCUGGAUCAUUACUGACACUGAGGAACGAAAGCAUGGGUAGCGAAGAGGAUUAGAUACCCUCGUAGUCCAUGCCGUAAACGAUGUGUGUUAGACGUUGGAAAUUUAUUUUCAGUGUCGCAGGGAAACCGAUAAACACACCGCCUGGGGAGUACGACCGCAAGGUUAAAACUCAAAUGAAUUGACGGGGACCCGCACAAGUAGUGGAGCAUGUGGUUUAAUUCGAAGAUACGCGCAGAACCUUACCAACACUUGACAUGUUCGUCGCGACUCUAAGAGAUUAGAGUUUUCGGUUCGGCCGGACGAAACACAGGUGCUGCAUGGCUGUCGUCAGCUCGUGUCGUGAGAUGUUGGGUUAAGUCCCGCAACGAGCGCAACCCUCACUUUUAGUUGCCAUCAUUAAGUUGGGCACUCUGAAAGAACUGCCAGUGAUAAGCUGGAGGAAGGUGGGGAUGACGUCAAGUCCUCAUGGCCCUUACGUGUUGGGCUACACACGUGCUACAAUGGUAUCUACAACAGGAAGCAAAACUGCGAAGUUAAGCAAAUCCCUAAAAGAUACCUCAGUUCGGAUUGCACUCUGCAACUCGAGUGCAUGAAGCUGGAAUUACUAGUAAUCGUGGAUCAGCGUGCCACGGUGAAUGCGUUCCCGGGUCUUGUACUCACCGC
rnacentral:rRNA from 1 species